rnacentral:rRNA from 1 species
CCUACGGGGGGCAGCAGUGGGGAAUCUUGCACAAUGGGGGAAACCCUGAUGCAGCGACGCCGCGUGAGCGACGAAGCCCUUCGGGGUGUAAAGCUCUUUCGGCAGGGACGAUAAUGACGGUACCUGCAGAAGAAGCUGCGGCUAACUACGUGCCAGCAGCCGCGGUAAUACGUAGGCAGCAAGCGUUGUUCGGAAUUACUGGGCGUAAAGCGUGCGUAGGCGGUCGGCUAAGUUUGGUGUGAAAUCUCCCGGCCCAACCGGGAGGGGGCGCCGAAAACUGGCGGGCUAGAGGGCGGGAGAGGGAAGUGGAAUUCCUGGUGUAGCGGUAAAAUGCGUAGAAAUCAGGAGGACCACCGGUGGUGAAGACGGCUCCCGGGACCGUGACUGACGCUGAGGCACGAAAGCGGGGGGAGCAAACAGGAUUAGAUACCCGGGUAGU